GAUGGCACUCACCAGCUUUUUACGUGCACCUACUCAGCUAUCUCAGGACCAGCUUGAGGCUGAAGAAAAGGCAAGAUCCCAGAGAUCAUGACAGACCUCACUGGUCUCCUCCCGAAGAGAACCUCCCCCAUAUGGGUACCGGAAAGGCUGGGCACCUCGGUUAUUAGAGGAUUUGGGAGGUGGAGGUGUUUUCCAGAGAUCCAUGUGGCCCAGUAUCCACUGGAUAUGGGGCAAAAGAAAAAAAUGUCAAAUGCACUGGCCAUUCAGGUGGAUGCUGAAGGAAAAAUUAAAUAUGAUGCAAUUGCUCGGCAAGGACAGUCAAGAGACAAGGUCAUUUCUAGCAAGUAUACUGACCUGGUUCCCAAGGAAGUUAUGAAUGCAGAGGACCCAGACCUGCAAAGACCUGAUGAAGAAGCCAUUAAAGAGAUAACAGAAAAGACAAGGGUAGCCUUAGAAAAAUCCGUAUCACAGAAGGUUGCUGCAGCCAUGCCAGUUCAAGCUGCUGAUAAACUGGCUCCCGCUCAAUAUAUUCGAUACACACCAUCUCAACAAGGAGUGGCUUUCAACUCUGGAGCUAAACAGAGAGUUAUUCAGAUGGUGGAAAUGCAGAAAGAUCAAAUGGAGCCUCCAAGGUUCAAGAUUAAUAAGAAAAUUCCCCGAGGACCACCUUCCCCUCCUGCACCUGUCAUGCAUUCUCCUAGCUGAAAGAUGACCGUGAAGGAGCAACAAGGGUGGAAGAUCCCCCCUUGUAUUUCAAACUGGAAAAAUGCAAAGGGGUAUACAAUUCCAUUAGACAAACGUCUUGCUGCUGAUGGAAGAGGCCUGCAGACAGUUCACAUCAAUGAGAACUUCGCCAAGCUGGCCGAAGCCCUCUAUAUUGUUGAUCGGAAGGCUCGUGAAGUUGUAGAAAUGUGUGCUCAAGUAGAGAGAAAGAUGGCUCAAAAAGAAAAGGAGAAACAUGAAGAGAAACUUAGAGAAAUGGCCCAGAAAGCCAGGGAGAGAAGAGCUGGGAUCAAAACCCAUGUGGAAAAAGAGGAUGGGGAGGCACAUGAGAGGGAUGAAAUCCGGCAUGACAGGAGAAAAGAGACUGCACACAGGAAUCUUUCCAGGGAAGCUCCUGAUAAGAGGUAGUAACCACAGAGAAAUGAAAAUUGAGGUAUCAGUGAAGUCAUUGCUCUUGGUGUGCCCAAUCCUCGGAUGUCCAACGAAGUUCAGUAUGACCAAAGGCUUUUCAACCAGUCCAAGGGUAUGGACAGUGGUUUUGCAGGUGGAGAAGAUGAAAUUUACAUUUAUGAUCAAGCCUGGAGAGGUGGUAAAGAUAUGGCCCAGAGUAUUUACAGGCCCAGUAAAAAUCUGGACAAGCACAUGUAUGGUGAUGACCUAGAAGCCAGAAAAAAGACCAACAGAUUUGUUCCCGAUAAAGAGUUUUCUGGUUCAGACCGUAGGCAAAGAGGCCGAGAAGGACCUGUUCAGUUUGAGGAAGAUCCUUUUGGUUUGGACAAGUUUUUGGAAGAAGCCAAACAGCACGGUGGCUCUAAAAGACCCUCAGAUAGCAGCUGCCCCAAGGAACAUGAGCAUGAAGGCAAGAAGAGGAGGAAGGAGUAGAUACACCUCUCUUCAAAGUGAAUGAACUUUUAUCCAUAACCCUAAUGAUGCAAUUCAGAUGGGCAAACACUUUGUAAAUGGCCAGGAUAAAAACCAAAUCUGGGUGUCAGACCCCAGCACUACUUUUUAUU